UACGUAGGGUGCAAGCGUUAUCCGGUAUUAUUGGGCGUAAAGGGCUCGUAGGCGGUUUGUCGCGUCGGGAGUGAAAACUCAGGGCUUAACCCUGAGCCUGCUUCCGAUACGGGCAGACUAGAGGUAUGCAGGGGAGAACGGAAUUCCUGGUGUAGCGGUGAAAUGCGCAGAUAUCAGGAGGAACACCGGUGGCGAAGGCGGUUCUCUGGGCAUUACCUGACGCUGAGGAGCGAAAGUGUGGGGAGCGAACAGG
rnacentral:rRNA from 1 species